UACGUAGGGGGCAAGCGUUGUCCGGAUUUACUGGGCGUAAAGCGCGCGUAGGCGGAACGAUCAGUCCGGUCUGAAAGCCCCCGGCUCAACCGGGGAGGGUGGUUGGAAACUGUCGUUCUUGAGGGCGAGAGAGGAGGGUGGAAUUCCUGGUGUAGCGGUGAAAUGCGUAGAUAUCGGAAGGAACACCAGUGGCGAAAGCGGCUUCCUGGUCCGACACCGACGUUCAGGCACGAAAGCGUGGGGAGCAAACAGG
rnacentral:rRNA from 1 species